rnacentral:rRNA from 1 species
ACGCUCGACACCUACGGGGGCAGCAGUGAGGAAUAUUGGUCAAUGGGCGCUAGCCUGAACCAGCCAAGUAGCGUGAAGGAUGAAGGCUCUAUGGGUCGUAAACUUCUUUUAUAUAAGAAUAAAGUGCAGUAUGUAUACUGUUUUGUAUGUAUUAUAUGAAUAAGGAUCGGCUAACUCCGUACACGCAGCCGCGGUAAUCUGAGCGGGCUGGCAAGGC